CAGUCCAGUUGGCAGAGCAUGAGACUCUCAAUCCCAAGGUUGUGGGUUCAAAUCCCGUGUCAGA